rnacentral:rRNA from 1 species
UAAUACGUAGGUGGCGAGCGUUAUCCGGAUUUAUUGGGCGUAAAGAGGGCGUAGGCGGUUCUUCAAGUCGGAUGUAAAAUCUCCCGGCUCAACUGGGAGGGACCAUUUGAUACUGUUAGGCUAGAGGGCAGCAGGGGGAGGUGGAAUUCCCGGUGUAGUGGUGAAAUGCGUAGGUAUCGGGAGGAACACCAGUGGCGAAGGCGGCCUCCUAGGCUGUUUCUGACGCUGAGGCCCGAAAGCGUGGGGAGCAAACAGGAUUAGAUACCCUGGUAGUCCACGCCGUAAACGAUGGACACUAGGUAUGGGGGGUAUCGACCCCCUCCGUGCCGGAGCUAAUGCGUUAAGUGUCCCGCCUGGGGAUUACGGCCGCAAGGCUA